rnacentral:lncRNA from 1 species
ACACUUAAAAGGAUUUACACCUAUUUAACAGUACUACUCGAUUCUGCUCUAUUGAGCACUAACAAUUAACAACAGUCAUUUUUAAUGGCAACAAGCUGGUAACUUUGAUUAGACACACAUGGUCCUAAGUCUAAUUACCAAUAAGCUGUUUGGUCUUCUGUAUUUGCUCAUCACAACAGACUACGGAUUUUUUGUUUUGUUUUUAGAUUUCCCAAGGAAAAUUAUACUCAUCUAAUUGUACCUUGUGCCCUGAAAGUAUCUGAUGAGCAGUGGCUGUGGUUGUGUGUAGUUGUGACUUUAAUUAGCAUUCUAGAGAAAAAUUUAAAAGUCCCCCAGAUUCAUGAGAGAGAUAAGAGUCCGUGAGGGGUAAGAGUCCGAAGAAAGGGAAAAAAUGAGGAAAGAUGAGCGCAUGUGCUUAGGAAGGGAUUUCAAGGGACCAAAAGGUUUAUGUUAGAAAGUUAUGAGAGCAAGAUGGAUAGGCAAUUGAACAUUCCAUGUAGAAAACCUUGAACUUGUAAAUAUUAAGGCCUUUGGAUUUGUCUUAUAGUAACAUAUUUCUGAAGCAGGAGAUUAUAGGAAGUGGUAUGUCUGAACUAUUUAUCAGACGUAGUAACGGUAAACAUGAAGUGAGGUUAGCCAAGGGAUUGGAUACAUUUAGGUAAAAAUAAUGUCCAGCUUUCUAGACCUGGCGUUAUAAUGGAAAGGAAGUGAGGUGUGACUAAAUCUGUGAGCAAAGGUUUGUGGGAGACAGACUUGAGGUAGAAAUAAUAAUUCUAAGUUUAACCCCAGGUCUGGCAAAAAUUUAAAAGUUAAAAGGAAGAGUUUGAGAAGGAAGGAAAGUAAAGAAGAAAGAACUGAAUGACAGGCUUUGAAGGUUAGAAUUAUUGCGGUAUAGUUUAAUUACAAGCUAUCAAUUUUAAUUGAGCAACUUAGUGAGUUUUAAUAAAGGCACCGCAGUCUGUAAGUGCCACUGCAGUCAUGGCGUAGGCCAGUUUUAUCUCCCCAUAAGGUUUCUCUGUAUCUCGGCAGACAGUCCUCUACCACUAGCCCAAGCCUUGGCAAUCUCUGGGCUGUUUCUGUUUCUGUAGGUUUUUGCAUUUCUAGAAUUUCCUGUAAAUGAACCCUGUCUGUGUGGGGCUUUGGUUUAACGUGGUCUUUGAGAGUCAUCUAUGUGUCUCAUGUGUCAGUGGGUCUUCCAGUGUUUUAUUCAUUCAUCACACGAAGGACAUUGUACUGUUUUCAGAGUUUGAGGCUUUUAUUUAUUUUUAUAAAAUACAGUUUUCUGUUUUCUGUUCAUGUUGAGGUCAGAGGACAGCAUAUAGGAGCUAUUUUCUCUCCUCUACUCUGUAAAUUCCAGAGACCAAGCUCAAGUCAUCAGACAUGGCUGCACAGCCACAUUCAAAGCCAUCUUACUAGGCCCCACAUUUAAUUUUACACUACCAUACAUAAAACUGCUCCAAAGAAGUCACACAGACAUUUUAUACUAAUGUACAUUUUAGCACUGAGGCAGAAGGAUUAGCCCAAUUUGAGGCAGAGAUUCACUGUGUAGCCCUGGAUGUCCCGGAACUGGCUCUGUAGACUAGGCUGGCCUUGCUUGAACUUUGAGAUCACCUGCCUCUGCCUCCUGAGUGCCAGGAUUAAAGGCUCGAACCAUCACCACCGCCAGUGCCUGGCAAGAUAACUUAUGUUUU